rnacentral:snRNA from 1 species
GUGCUCGCUUCGGCAGCACAUAUACUAAAAUUGGAACGAUAUAGAGAAGAUUAGCAUGGCCCCUGCGCAAGGAUGAUACACAAAUUUUGAAGCGUUCCAUAUUUUU